CACAUGUCCCUUUUAAGGGACAUAAACAGAAUCAGCACAAAAAUGU
rfam:Musa acuminata subsp. malaccensis Doubled-haploid Pahang (DH-Pahang) genomic chromosome, chr6